GCCGGUGUAGCUCAGUCGGUAGAGCAACUGACUUGUAAUCAGUGGGUCAGGGGUUCGAAUCCCCUCGCCGGCU
rnacentral:tRNA from 1 species